UGCUAUUUUUUUUUCAAACGUUUUGUAAUUCAUACAAUCAAAUUCUGAACAAAAUCGUACGAGAAUAUAUCAGAUUUGCACAGCUCUCAUGGUUACAUUUUAUCAUUUUAUGUUGGUACUUCCAACUCUCCGUCAGCCGUCACGGAUUCAUGUGUCACUUCAUCGUUUAUUUUCAUUUCUGCUCAGAAGUCAAGUCGUGAACAAUAACAAAUACAAUAUCUACUCUACACCUAGUAAUAUCGAUAUUCCUGGAACUUUUCUAAAUAGAAAUAUAUCAAGUAGAUCCUGUGUUAUCUCGAACUUAUCUAAUAGUAUAGAAGAAGUUGUUUCAUAAAAUGGAAGAAUUGUUGAACUCUCCAGGGUGAAAAGAUUCGAAAAUACUAUUACGUACAAUCCACACAUAAGUAUUUAUAUAUUUAAUAACUGCAUUGGAUAUCCAAAAGGAUUGAAAUAACUAGAAAUAUUUUUGAUGAAGAAUAUUGUUUACAAUGUUUUCUUUACGGAUAAGUUAUCGUAAAGCAUUGAUGAAAUAUAUUGUAACAUAACUAACCAAUUUUAGCAGAUAUAUCAUUAGUGUUCAGAAUAAAUGAUUGAGAGAAUUUUAAUUCUCAUCAACAAUAUUAAUGCACUUAUAUUUUUGAUUACUAAAGAAGAAUUACUGCAAUUGUGCUAAUAUGUGAUUUUAUGAAAAUAAAUGAGAUUUGUUUUGA